CAAAGCAGCUUCUUGUACGAGUCGAAUUGGACAGCGGAGAUUGAUGCACUACUGCUGACUACUGUUGUGCGUAUGAAAAAAUUGGAGUGGUAUUAUUAUUCCUAUGGAAUUUUUACUUGAAGCUCAGCUUGACCAUUGGUUUGCAUUUCACUCCCUUCCAACUUUAUGGGCGGCUACAGAUGUUGGAGCGUCGUUACCUGACUUUCAAAAAGGUGGUGGCCGUUCCCGGUACUUUCUGGGACGUCUGCUCAAACACUGUUACGGCACCCGGACAAUGUUUGGAGCCACAUUUUCGAGUUGAAUCCCUUGGCAAGAGCCCACUACCACAAAGGCGUGCCCGAGUUUUGACAGUCGGUUAUUUUCUUUCGGUCUGGACCUGGAUGAGAUCAAGCCCAAGAUUAAGAAGGUCAUCAUAAUUUCCGACAAACCUUGAGCUUGAAGAUGCACUACUAGAUAAAUUAUCUUUAGGAUUUCUUAUUUAACUUGUGUAAACUCCUAUAAUUAAUCACCAUUUAGAUAGGUGUAGCUUUGGAGAAAAUCAUAUUUGGAUGAAGGUAACUGUGGCCUCGGAGAGGAGUGUUUUGUUUUCUUCAGUUUAAAUUAUCCUAGCUGGUUAUUUCUUCAAAAA